rnacentral:rRNA from 1 species
CAGUCGCCGCGGGAAUACAGAGGGUGCGAGCGUUAAUCGGAUUUACUGGGCGUAAAGCGUGCGUAGGCGGCUUCUUAAGUCGUAUGUGAAAUCCCUGAGCUUAACUUAGGAAUUGCAUUCGAUACUGGGAAGCUAGAGUAUGGGAGAGGAUGGUAGAAUUCCAGGUGUAGCGGUGAAAUGCGUAGAGAUCUGGAGGAAUACCGAUGGCGAAGGCAGCCAUCUGGCCUAAUACUGACGCUGAGGUACGAAAGCAUGGGGAGCAAACAGGAUUAGAUACCCCCGUAGUCCCUGUCUCUUAUAC